AACGAACGCUGGCGGCAGGCCUAAAACAUGCAAGUCGAACGAACCUUCGGGUUAGCGGCGCACGGGUGCGUAACGCGUGGGAAUGUGCCUCUGGGUGCGGAACAACGUCGGGAAACUGACGCUAAUACCGCAUAAUAUCUACGGAUCAAAGAUUUAUCGCCCAGAGAUCAGCCCGCGUCUGAUUAGGUAGUUGGUAGGGUAAUGGCCUACCAAGCCUACGAUCAGUAGCUGGUCUGAGAGGAUGAUCAGCCACACUGGAACUGAGACACGGUCCAGACUCCUACGGGAGGCAGCAGUUAGGAAUAUUGGACAAUGGGGGAAACCCUGAUCCAGCCAUGCCGCGUGUGUGGAGAAGGCCUUAGGGUUGUAAAGCACUUUCGUCUAUGAAGAUAAUGACAGUAGUAGAAGAAGAAGCUCCGGCUAAAUUCGUGCCAGCCGCCGCGGUAA
rnacentral:rRNA from 1 species